AUGAAACAACAAGGGCCAAAGCCAACCGACGCAAACAUUCCCAGCGACAUCAUCCGCAAUAUUCCCAGUCCAAAUCCCACAGUAUUCCCAGUCCAAAUCCCACAGUAUUCCCAGUCCAAAUCCCACAGUAUUCCCAGUCCAAAUCCCACAGUAUUCCCAGUCCAAAUCCCACAGUAUUCCCAGUCCAAAUCCCACAGUAUUCCCAGUCCAAAUCCCACAGUAUUCCCAGUCCAAAUCCCACAACCACCUUUUCUAAUACCUCUUCACAUGUUCCAAGUCCACUCCAUCGUCCAUCCAACCAAAGUCCAACUACCAAGUGUCCCAGGCAGACUUCUUAACAUUUCACUCCAACUACCAAGUGUCCCAGGCAGACUUCUUAACAUUUCACUCCAACUACCAAGUGUCCCAGGCAGACUUCUUAACAUUUCAGUCCAACUACCAAGUGUCCCAGGCAGACUUCUUAACAUUUCACUCCAACUACCAAGUGUCCCAGGCAGACUUCUUAACAUUUCACUCCAACUACCAAGUGUCCCAGGCAGACUUCUUAACAUUUCACUCCAACUACCAAGUGUCCCAGGCAGACUUCUUAACAUUUCACUCCAACUACCAAGUGUCCCAGGUAGACUUCUUAACAUUUCACUCCAACUACCAAGUGUCCCAGGCAGACUUCUUAACAUUUCACUCCAACUACCAAGUGUCCCAGGCAGACUUCUUAACAUUUCACUCCAACUACCAAGUGUCCCAGGCAGACUUCUUAACAUUUCACUCCAACUACCAAGUGUCCCAGGCAGACUUCUUAACAUUUCACUCCAACUACCAAGUGUCCCAGGUAGACUUCUUAACAUUUCACUCCAACUACCAAGUGUCCCAGGCAGACUUCUUAACAUUUCACUCCAACUACCAAGUGUCCCAGGUAGACUUCUUAACAUUUCACUCCAACUAUCAAGUGUCCCAGGCAGACUUCUUAACAUUUCACUCCAACUACCAAGUGUCCCAGGUAGACUUCUUAACAUUUCACUCCAACUACCACAUCUUUCUUUCCCAGGUUCCCUUUCCUCGGAUUCCAAGUCAGACGUGAACCACUGCCCUUCCCUUGUUUUAACACUGAGCUAA
rnacentral:lncRNA from 1 species